AUACGGAGGAUGCGAGCGUUAUCCGGAUUUAUUGGGUUUAAAGGGAGCGUAGGCGGAAGCUUAAGUCAGCGGUUAAAUGGUGCGGCUCAACCGUGCCCUGCCGUUGAAACUGGGUUUCUUGAGAGUGCAAGAGGCGGAUGGAAUUCAUGGUGUAGCGGUGAAAUGCUUAGAUAUCAUGAAGAACUCCGAUUGCGAAGGCAGUCCGCUGGGGCACGUCUGACGCUGAUGCUCGAAGGUGCGGGAAUCAAACAGGAUUAGAUACCCUGGUAGUCCGCACGGUAAACGAUGAUUACCCGCUGUCGGCGGCAGACAGUCGGCGGCCAAGCGAAAGCGAUAAGUAAUCCACCUGGGGAGUACGCCGGCAACGGUGAAACUUAAAGGAAUUGACGGGG
rnacentral:rRNA from 1 species